rnacentral:rRNA from 1 species
UUACCUGGAUAACCGUGGUAAUUCUAGAGCUAAUACAUGCUAAAAACCUCGACUCGCGAAGAGGUGUAUUUAUUAGAUAAAAAACCAAUGCCCUUCGGGGCUCUUUGGUGAAUCAUAAUAACUAAACGAAUCGCAUGACCUUGCGUCGGCGAUGGUUCAUUCAAAUCUGUGCCCUAUCAACUUCGAUGGUAAAAUAGAGGUUUACCAUGGUUUCCACGGGUAACGGGGGAUUAGGGUCCGAUUCCGGAGAGGGAGCCUGAGAAACGGCUACCACAUCCAAGGAAGGCAGCAGGCGCGCAAAUUACCCAAUCUCAAUACGAUGAGGUAGUAAGUAACAUCCAUUUCUCAAACAAAUCCCAAACUCGACGAGUGCGGGGGCUGUUACGAGAUCCAAGUCCAAUUGCGGUCUUCGAGCUUCUCUCUUCAGCUGGAUCGUUAUCGCACCGUUUGGAUCUCGUACAGUUCUCGCACGAAGUCAACAUAUCUAUAGUUGAUCUUGUGCUAACUGUACUGCCUAGGUGACAAUAAAUACUGAUGCAGAGCUCUUUUGGGUUUUGCAAUUGGAAUGAGUACAAUUUAAACCCCUUAACGAGGAACAAUUGGAGGGCAAGUCUGGUGCCAGCAGCCGCGGUAAUUCCAGCUCCAAUAGCGUAUAUUAAAGUUGUUGCAGUUAAAAAGCUCGUAGUUGAACCUUGGGCCUGGCUGACCGGUCCGCCUCACCGCGUGCACUGGUUCGGCCGGGCCUUUCCUCCUGGGGAUCCGCAUGUCCUUCACUGGGUGUGCUGGGGAACCAGGACUUUUACUUUGAAAAAAUUAGAGUGUUCAAAGCAGGUCUAUGCUCGAAUACAUUAGCAUGGAAUAAUAGAAUAGGACGUGCGGU